AGCAGCCGCGGUAAUUCCAGCUCCAAUAGCGUAUAUUAAAGUUGUUGCAGUUAAAAAGCUCGUAGUUGAAUUUCGGGGUUAGUAGGUUGGUCAUGCCUCUGGUAUGUACUGGUCUCACUGAUUCCUCCUUCCUGAUGAACCUUAAUGCCAUUAAUUUGGUGUUUUGGGGAAUUUGGACUGUUACUUUGAAAAAUUAGAGUGUUUAAAGCAAGCUAACGCUUGAAUACAUUAGCAUGGAAUAAUGAGAUAGGACGUUCGAUCCUAUUUUGUUGGUUUCUAGGAUUGACGUAAUGAUUAAUAGGGAUAGUUGGGGGCAUUAGUAUUCAAUUGUCAGAGGUGAAAUUCUUGGAUUUAUUGAAGACUAACUACUGCGAAAGCAUUUGCCAAGGAUGUUUUCAUUAACCAAGAACGAAAGUUAGGGGAUCGAAGACGAUCAGAUACCGUCGUAGUCUUAACCAUAAACUAUGCCGACUAGGGAUCGGAUGAUGUUAAUUUUUUAAUGACUCAUUCGGCGCCUUAC
rnacentral:rRNA from 1 species